GCGGCGCACGGGUGAGUAACGCGUAUGUAACCUGCCCAUGAGUGGGGAAUAGCCCGGUGAAAACCGGAUUAAUGCCCCAUGAUACCAUUGUCUGACAUCAUUUAAUGGUUAAAGAUUCAUUGCUCAUGGAUGGACAUGCGUUGGAUUAGCUAGUCGGCGGGGCAACGGCCCACCGAGGCGACGAUCCAUAGGGGUUCUGAGAGGAAGGUCCCCCACAUUGGUACUGAGACACGGACCAAACUCCUACGGGAGGCAGCAGUGAGGAAUAUUGGUCAAUGGGCGGAAGCCUGAACCAGCCAAGUCGCGUGAAGGAUGAAGGUAUUAUGUAUUGUAAACUUCUUUAGCUGUGGAGAAAUAAGGGGCAUGCAUGCCCUGAUGCU
rnacentral:rRNA from 1 species